UGGCUCAACCUCUGCUUGUUUAAGAGCUGCAAGAAGAAGGGACAGCCCAGUUCUUAUCACCAGCCCUCGAGAGAUUUGACAUCCUUGGCAUUGUAUCCCAAGAGGAAGGAAGUUUCUCACUUCCCCAGCUAUUUCAGUUAUAUAAAUCAAUUGUUGAGGGAUAGUUUCACUGGGCUGCACAUAGGAACCAAGGUACUUGGGCUCAGAUGGUCGCUGGAGAUCCUCAUCUAGGAAUUCAAACUGUAACGCUUGGGAAUUUAUCAGGAAUUCUCUUGCCAAGUCAGGAUCCUUUGGACUCAAAGCCCAGAUGUUGCCACCAAAUCCCGACCAUCCUCCUCAUUUUCUCCAGCCCCUUUGGAACUUCCCUGGCUUCCCCGCUGGGCAAGCGGGUUCCUUGGCAUAAAGAACUUACAAGGAAUUAUUGGGAACGGGGUGGAUUAGAAGAUGGACUUCUCUGGCAAAGGGAAAGCUGCUCUAGGCUGCAAGAACCAAUACAAAGAUGGAACAAGUCCUGACAAUCCCUCUGGUAGCUCCAUGAGCAUGAGGCCACUGGUUUCCUACAGCAGGCAACCGAAAAGCCACUAUGGCAGGAGUGGUUCCCAGCCCUCAGCUUGGCACUAACACCCCAAUUCCUGCUCCCGGCACGGCACAGAUCUGUCCCAAGCCGGGGAAGCUGAAGGAUGACCUGAUGUCAUGGCCCACGCAAGGAACCUGCUGUAAAAUGAAAGCACCAUCCCGACACAGCAGCUCACAUGUGGUGACAGCGUGUCCGUGUUCCUGGGGAAGCUCGUAGGAUACUCCACAGAGUAUCCCUCACAACUGGCGUGAAUGUCUUUGUCUUGCAAGUCUAGAAACCUAGUUGAUUAAAAGUAAUGCCUCCAGUGGCAAGGCAGGGAGGAUUCAGUCAUACAACAGCCAUUCCUGCCCUCCUUUCCACACGGAUUUUACAUGCUCUCUCCUCUAACGCUACCAAAGACCCGUAGUGUUUUCUCCUGUGAGUAAGAUGGGUCAAUGGAUUUGGUCAAUGUGAUUUAUUUUAUUGGGUAAAAGUACUUAUUAUCCUAUUCUGAAAGAAACUCAGGGCAUCUCUGUAUGUAACCAGCAAGCAGGUAGGGCCGCUGGCCUCCAAGAUGCUCCUCAGCAGCCAGCCCUACCUGUACACACGUGGAACGGCAGCUCGAUGCCUCCAGUGCUUCCUAAACCAACCCCACCACCUUGCUCCGAAACAAAGGGAAUUAGUCAGCAAAAAGGGUAUUCUUAGAGUGUGUCUUCUCUCAUUGUUCUUUGGCUGCAACAUCCACUUGUACUUUUGGUUGCAGAGCAGAAUUGUGAAACCAGAUACUGUGAGUCAGCCCAGAAGGGCAGCUGAGGGGAGCCCAGUGCGUGCCCAGCACGGGGGCCACCUCCAGCGGGCCAGGGGAGGUGAGCGCUCGUCACACCCCCUCCUCAAGAGCUUUUGGCUAAGCAAGAGUGCCAGAGCGAGGUUUCAGGCUAUGGCAGCAGCCCGCUGGUGCUGCUCAGGCCCUCACGUGGAGGUAAGUCAAGGGGUGGGAGCAGGCCAGAGGUUUCCAAACUGCUCAUUUGUAGCUCCCUGCUCCAGCUCUUGGCCUCAGCAGUUACACAGCUCCGAGUCCUUGCUCCACGGCACUACCCUACUACUAGGAGACACUUCGGGCUUCUCUCUCCUGCUCCCUCAAGAACGCUGCUAAAACUGUGGCUGUGACCCACCGAAUCCAUCUCCACUAUUAAAUUCCCUACCUGCCUUUGGGACACUGUGACGACACCAAACCAGCUUCUCUGGAGACUCAGCGGGACUCCCUAAAUUUACUGAAGGUACCGGGGUGGGAAGUGCUUGAUCUCCCGAUAGGGCUGAACUCCUAUCGGGAUAAGAGACAUUCAGUGAUACCUGCCUUUUCUUUUGUGCUGCAAUGAGCUUAACCUCCAGUGGCUCUGCCUCUUACGGAGACUCCUUCAAGCUGGAAACUGAGUAAACUUUGGAUGAAAACUAAUUCCCGCUCUUCAAGUAGCUUCCCAAUGCAAAGCUAGUGUGAUUGUGUCCUUUUUUAAAGACAAUUUGGUUUAACAAGCCCCCAACUGGCUGCUUAUAGACAAGUUUCUUCCUGCAAGACCCUCUGAAAGUGCUCAUGGCAACGGGGAAUGAAGAUGUUUAAAAGGAAGCCAAGUAGGAGACGUGAAAUAGCCGGCAGCAUCCUGCCUGCCUCAGGCAGGCAGCAGGAUGGAGGGACCACGGGCACACAGAGGCACUGGCAGCUUGAUUUGUGCGGUGCCAUCAGCUGCUUUACCCCUGGAAGAUACAGUCACUGCUGGAACAAGAUUGGGUUCAUGUAAGAUGUGUCAGGAAACUCUUGAGAAAGGCUGAGAAAAAGAAGUCGUCUGGACCAUUGAGAAGCUCAAUCUGCAGCUUAAAAGAAAACUGCUCCGUAAAAAUACACUUUUUUUUCCCUUAAAACUUCAUGUUUGGUGCAGUCAGAAUGACUUUCGCAUUUCACACAAGGCACAUUCAGCUAGUUCAGAUCAGUGCUGGUACCACUGAUGUCUGAGUUGUUCAGGAGUUAUAGUUAAGCAUCCUUCUCAGCCGAGAGCAAAAGGAAAAGCUUUUUCUUCCCUUCUACUUUGUUCUUGUUUGGAAUUUGCUCCUAAAACGCUGCAA
rnacentral:lncRNA from 1 species